CUUGUCUUCAACUUUACCCGUGAACAAACUCAUUAGUAUUGCCAAGGUCGAAUGAUUACUUGGGGUAAUUCUUGAAUAAGCGACUUUUCUUAUUCAGUUCACCUUUCAUUCCAACCUUGUAUCAUUCCAACCUUGUACAGCUUGUCUUCCCCCCAAUUCCAUUGUCAACUGAUUACCCUAAAACCCCAUAAGCUAUUUACAGUAAAAGAAAAGAAAACCCCAGAAGUUGGGUUUAAGCUUGAAGUAAGAAAUCUUGAAGAACCCCAUUUCCGUUUAUUUACACAGGUGUAUAUGUGUUAUGGGUAGUCAAGAGUUGUUGCGGCAUGUAAAUAAGCUGAAUGGAGAUGCUAUUACUCUAUGUGGAAUUGGGUUGGAGCAAUUGGGUAGUGAAAACGGGUCGGAGCCAGUGGAUGGUGAGGGUUUGACUGAUUUAAUGGUUACGGGAGACAGGUUAGGGGAGGUGAAUAUCCGUGAAAAGGAGAAGGCAAAUUUAGCGGAUAAGGUCUUGGAAAACUUGGAGGAUUAUUGGGAAGAUAUGAGUGACCGGUUAAUGAUUUCACGCAUGGUGAGUGACUCAGUUAUAAAGGGGAUGGUGAAUGCCGUGGAACAAGAGGCGGCUGAAAAAAUUGCGGCCAAAGAUUUGGAAGUGGCAAAACUGAAGGAACGAUUCCUCUCCUUCAAUUUAGAGCCCCAUGUAAUGCCAAGCAAUUUAGAAAAUGGGAAUUGUCGGAGGUGCUUGAUUUUAUCAGAUGCAUAUAUGAACGGGGAUAGCAUCAGGGAGUUUUUUUGCGGUUUAAGAAAUGAGGCAAGAGAGCAGUUCGAGAAGGUUAAGAAGGAGAUCGAUGGUGUAAGAGGGUGUAAUAACAUUAAAAGGAUUGGUUCAGGUUCUCAGUUGGUAUGUUUGGGUGAAAUCUUACACGAGAAGCAAUCGGAAAGCUGGCUGCGUGUGGAUAGGACACUAGAUCAUUUAAAGAAUACGGUGGACACCAUGUGCACACGGGUGGAUGAUAUGCUUCAGUUGUCUAAGAAAUCACUUGUUGAAUGGAAGCAGGAGAGACAUAUCCAAGGAGAAAUUGAGGAUAUGGUGAUGCAGAGUGUAAUUAGGAAUCUUCAAGAGGAGUUCGAAGAGAAACUAAUGGAACAAAAUGCUCAAUUUUGUGGCAGUCCUAUCAUGAAUUUGCUAGAAAAGUUUGAUGAUAUUUCUAGUUUACGCAACAAGUUAGAUUCAAUUCUGAACUUGCUCUCUCAUCCCGAAAUGGAGUUAAUUUCCCAUGGAUCUCAUGAUAUGGAUCAUAUUCAUCGUAAGGGCUUGAGCAACCAUGUUAAGCUGCCGACAACUCUUUUGGAGGGAAAUGGGAAACUGGAGGCAUCUAAAACUGACGCCCCUGAGAAUUUUGAGCACGCGCAGUUAAAACACUUGUCGAAGGAAGAACUGGUGAAUUAUUUUAAUGAUACCAUAACAAAGAUGAAGAGAGACCAUGAGUCUGCUUUGGUACAAAAGACUGAAGAAUAUUUUACUCUAAGGCGGGAACACCUUAAACAGAAGAGUUUUUUCAUGUCCUAUAGGAAAGACGAGGAAUUUGAUGUGUUGAGGAAAAAGAUUCCUGAAAUUAUUUCAAAACUGGAUGAUGUCCAUUUAGAAACAGAGAAAUUUUCUGCAUUAACCAAUAAUGCGGAUUGUCUGGUUAACUUGAAGGAUAGACUCAACAUCCUUCUCUGUGAAAAUCGUCAGCUCAGAGACGCACUUACUGAUAAGAAAAAUGAAGUAAAAUGUCUAGAAGCACAGGUUUCUGAUGCUGCUAGGAAAAUUUUGCAGCAUUCUACAGCUGAGGAAGACAUGCUAAAACUUCUAGGGAAUCUUAAUUCAGCAACAGAAGAUACGUGUAUAGAAGCUUUACUUACUGAAGAAGUCUAUAAAUGUGUUUUGAAGGAGCUGGAUGGACAGAUGAGACGUGUCACUGAAGACUCCAACAUGGAGUUUCUUAUUACGAUGGAAGUUUAUGAAAUACUUCUCAGUGGAGCGGCUGUCCCUGCUGAAACUACAAGCGGAUAUGAAAUUAAAGAUUCAGAUAUUGAAUCACUGAUCAUGGUAGGACUAUGUAGACUUUUAUUUAGGGAAGCCACCAGGGACACUCAGGGAAAAAUCAAGGAGUUGUAUCAGGAAUAUUUAAUUGAGAAUGAAAAGAGAAUCUCUCUAGAAUCUAAAUCUCUUGAAAAGGAAAACGAAUUAAAGUUGGAGGUUCAAGAAAAGGAAAUAUUAAAAAAAGAGCUACUCAAGCUGGAAAAAUCAUUAGAAGAGAACAAGAAGUUUGCAACAGAGUUAUCAACUGCAUUGACAAAAGAGAAUGAACUGUUUGGGCUAGCUUCUCAAGAGCUAAAUAGAUUAAGAGAACAUGCAAGUUGGCAAGAAUCAUUGGUUACAGAGAGUAGCAAGGAAUUAGAGUUAGUAAAGGGUCAGCUGCAAGAAGCGUUGGAACGAAUUAAAGAAGAUGAUCUGAAAAUAAAUGUAUUGAAUCAAAAGCUUGAACAAAGCAUGGAGGAGAUGAAGGAAGCUAAUGAGAAACAAAAAUUGGCUGUUGAUCUUGCCCGAGAAAGACAUGAAACUCAAGCGAAGGAACUAAUUAAGCAAAUGGACCUGGUAACAAAAAUGCUUGAUGAUUUUGGAAUCAGAAUAUCAGAAAGUAUCAAGAAUAAUAAGUCAAGGUUGGAAGAUGCUCAAUCUGAUUUGAGAUCUCUUACUGAGGUAGCUAAUGAACUCAGGAGAACAGGCCAGAUGUACAAACUGAGAUUUGAGAGGAGAUGUGCGGACCUUCAAAUGGCAGAGGCUGAGGUCGAUCUUUUGGCGGAUGAGGUGGAUGCUCUUUUGAGUUUACUCAACAAGAUAUACAUUGCACUUGAUCAUUACUCGCCAGUUUUACAGCAUUAUCCUGGGAUUAUUGAGAUUCUUAAGCUUGUUCGAAGAGAAUUAACUGGAGAAGCCACUAAGACGAAUUGAUGAACUCUUUCAUGAGGUAGUCUUCCUGUUAUAGUAAAUUUUUUGCUGCAAAGUCAGAUACUUGCCUUGAUGAAGAGAUUUUUUUCCAUGGACUAAACGAGGAUGGAUGCAAACAAAAUUUUUGGCGCCUUGCGCUACUGCUUGUGCCCAUAGGCUAUAUGAAGAUACUGGAUUUGGGCAAAAGCAUAAUCGCUUUUCAACGCAACUGAGUACAUCAACUCGUGGCGGUUGGAACCAGAAGACGGGCCCUUUGAUACUGAUAAUGUGCUGCGAUGGUCGAGCAUCUGCUGAAAAUGUUGGAGCUUUUUUUACUUGUACAUUCCCAGAUCCAACGACGGAGUAGUAUUAUCAUUGGAUUUGUGUAAAAUGAGAAAAUCUGUUUCCUUUCUGUGUGACAGGUAAAAAUACUUGGGAGCUGCAGUAGUAUUUGUUCUUUUCUGGCUUGGUAGACAAUUAUAUUAAUUAUAUUUAAUCUCCAUUGUUAUCUAGGUAUAUCAA